GACGAACGCUGGCGGCGUGCUUAACACAUGCAAGUCGUACGGUAAGGCCCUUUCGGGGGUACACGAGUGGCGAACGGGUGAGUAACACGUGAGUAACCUGCCCACAACUUUGGGAUAACGCUAGGAAACUGGUGCUAAUACUGGAUAUGUGCUCCUGCUGCAUGGUGGGGGUUGGAAAGCUCCGGCGGUUGUGGAUGGACUCGCGGCCUAUCAGCUUGUUGGUGGGGUAGUGGCCUACCAAGGCGGCGACGGGUAGCCGGCCUGAGAGGGUGACCGGCCACAUUGGGACUGAGAUACGGCCCAGACGCCUACGGGAGGCAGCAGUGGGGAAUAUUGCACAAUGGGCGCAAGCCGGAUGCAGCAACGCCGCGGGCGGGAUGACGGCCUUCGGGUUGUAAACCGCUUUCAGCAGGGACGAAGCUUUUUGUGACGGUACCUGCAGAAGAAGCACCGGCUAACUACGUG
rnacentral:rRNA from 1 species